rnacentral:rRNA from 1 species
GUGGUAAUGCCGGAUGCUCCAGUUGGAUGCAUGUUCUUCUGGGAAAGAUUUAUCGGUAUGGGAUGGGGUCGCGUCCUAUCAGCUUGAUGGCGGGGUAACGGCCCACCAUGGCUUCGACGGGUAGCCGGCCUGAGAGGGCGACCGGCCACAUUGGGACUGAGAUACGGCCCAGACUCCUACGGGAGGCAGCAGUGGGGAAUAUUGCACAAUGGGCGCAAGCCUGAUGCAGCGACGCCGCGUGCGGGAUGACGGCCUUCGGGUUGUAAACCGCUUUUGACUGGGAGCAAGCCCUUCGGGGUGAGUGUACCUUUCGAAUAAGCACCGGCUAACUACGUGCCAGCAGCCGCGGUAAUACGUAGGGUGCAAGCGUUAUCCGGAAUUAUUGGGCGUAAAGGGCUCGUAGGCGGUUCGUCGCGUCCGGUGUGAAAGUCCAUCGCUUAACGGUGGAUCCGCGCCGGGUACGGGCGGGCUUGAGUGCGGUAGGGGAGACUGGAAUUCCCGGUGUAACGGUGGAAUGUGUAGAUAUCGGGA